rnacentral:lncRNA from 1 species
AGUAGAAAAGGAGAGGUCCUAUGCGAUUCAUAAGACUGAGUUUAGAAAAUCUUCAGUCGAAGCAAGUGUGAAUGGUGGAAAGAAAUUUCUAUAAGAUUCAUAAGUGAAUUCAAGUCGAGCUAAUCUAGCAUAUGACUGACAAUGGGAUUUGAUGAGUUCUUCAUGAUCUCUGUUAAGUUGGGACUCACGAUAAAAGGACUG